GUCCUAAAUGCAUACCAGCAUCCAGCAAAACUAAGUCAACAGCUGAGGAAAUCAGGGGAAAAUAGAAGGCUACUCAUAAAGCAGUCAUUGUACACCUCUCCAAACAGACUAUUUUCUUUCCCGUGUUUAUUUCCCUGCUGUGUGCUGAAGGUCACAGGCUACGUCGGCAGAAGCCAGAGGGAUGUCAUGAAAAAGACUUGGCAAGGGAGCCGAGGAUGGGAAGAGACAGGGAGGGGGGGACAGAGGAGGAGGAGGAGGAGGUAAGAUGAUUUUGCAACAAGGAACAUCUGGCCGGCUUCUCCUCCCUGGAUGGCCCAAUAACCUUCCCUCCUCCUGACCACUCCCCGGGGCUGGCUUCCUUCGGCUCACAAACAACCCAGCCCAGGGGAGGCAGCUUGAAUUCCUGCCGUCGCCAGUGGUGCUGCUCCCAUUCAGCAGGAGGAAAAGUCUUCUGGAAGGGCUGGCCAGGUGCAGACCCCGGCCAUGCCGGCCUUGCUGUGUGGCUGCCUGCUUCUGGCAGCCAGUGCCGCGCACAUCCUGAGCGUCACGGACCGGGCGGCGGAGCCCAGCCCCGAGCUGGUGGAGCAGAUCCGCGAA
rnacentral:lncRNA from 1 species